rnacentral:rRNA from 1 species
GACGAACGCUGGCGGCGUGCCUAAUACAUGCAAGUAGGACGCAGUUGCGAACGGGGGAGUAACGCGUAGGUCACUACCUAUUAGAGGGGGCUAACAAGUGGAAACGAUAGCUAAUACCGCAUACGAGUAGAUGGACCUGCGUUGUAUUAGCGAUGAGGUAGGGUAAGGGCCUACCUCGGCAACGAUAUAUAGCCGACCGUAGAGGGUGAGCGGACAGUCUGGGUCUGAGACACGGUCCAGACUCCUACGGGAGGCAGCAGUAGGGAAUCUUCGGCAAUGGGGGAAGCCCUGACCGAGCAACGCCGCGUGAGUGCAGAAGGGGUUCGGAGCGUAAAGCUCUGUUGUUAAGGAAGCGGUACUUACCCAGAAAGGGACGGCUAACGACGUGCCAGCAGCCGCGGUAAUAC